AACGUAGGACACAAGCGUUAUCCGGAGUUACUGGGCGUAAAGCGUGCGUAGACGGUUGCGUAAGUCAGAUGUGAAAGCCCCGGGCUCAACCUGGGAAUUGCAUUUGAGACUGCGUAGCUAGGGUGCGGAAGAGGGAAGCGGAAUUUCCGGUGUAGCGGUGAAAUGCGUAGAUAUCGGAAGGAACACCAGUGGCGAAAGCGGCUUCCUGGUCCAGCACCGACGUUCAGGCACGAAAGCGUGGGGAGCAAACAGG
rnacentral:rRNA from 1 species